CGUCCCACUGAUGAGCAGCCGACGACGCCGACAUCGUAAUGCCGGAAUAACUAAACGCAAUCCGGCACGCGAUUAUUUGUGACCCUCGUGCGUAUCUAUGUGCAAGGACUAAUAGACGGGUCAACAUUUUUGUGGUUUUGAAAGCGCGCUUCGAUGUGAGCCUGUCGUAUGGUGUCAGUAGCUAGAUCUCGAUCUAACCUGCAAUGGCACCGGCGUGGUAAAAAAAAAGUGAUUUUCAGAGACCCCGCCCCAACCCAGGAUGCCAUAGGAGAGAUUGCACUUGAGCUGGCAAACAAUAAUAAUACCAAGAUAAUUAAACGUUGUUACUUGCGGAAUUUCUGUCAUUUCAGCUGUUAGGUUUCCGAUGUUUCGAAGCUGAUUUUUGUAGGAUGAGAAAGGUAUGGAGGUAGAACAGAUGCGAUUGCUAUGCGAUGAGAUACAGUACAAUAUACCAUAAAAAAUUUUUGGUUGUAAAAAUGGUGUGACGACGAAACAUAGCGAAAAAACAAUAAGUAAAUCUUAUAGAAACAUCACUGCUUUGGCUUACUAUGGGUUUGAAAAUCAUUGUUUGACAGUUUUGUGCCAACCAACGUUUAUUUUAAUAAAAAAAAUCUGAAGUCAAUUAACCGUUUUUCCAAAAAAAAAAAAAUUAAUUAUACAGAAACUACUAAUAGAAUAAAUUAAAAAGCACUUUGUUAUUUGAAACAUUAAAAAAACAAGUUUUUUUAAAUAAAAAUGUAUAUCUACUAUAAUAUACAAAAACCUUUUUAGA